GACGAACGCUGGCGGCGUGCUUAACACAUGCAAGUCGAGCGGUAAGGCCCUUUCGGGAGUACACGAGCGGCGAACGGGUGAGUAACACGUGGGUGACCUGCCCUUAGCUCUGGGAUAAGCCUGGGAAACUGGGUCUAAUACCGGAUAUGACUCCAUGACGCAUGUUGUGGGGUGGAAAGCCUUGUGCGGCUAGGGAUGGGCCCGCGGCCUAUCAGCUUGUUGGUGGGGUGAUGGCCACCAAGGCGACGACGGGUAGCCGGCCUGAGAGGGCGACCGGCCACACUGGGACUGAGACACGGCCCAGACUCCUACGGGAGGCAGCAGUGGGGAAUCUUGCGCAAUGGGCGAAAGCCUGACGCAGCGACGCCGCGUGAGGGAUGACGGCCU
rnacentral:rRNA from 1 species